UACGUAGGGUGCAAGCGUUGUCCGGAAUUAUUGGGCGUAAAGAGCGUGUAGGCGGUCCGGUAAGUCAGCUGUGAAAGUCAAGGGCUCAACCCUUGAAUGCCGGUUGAUAUGUCGGGCUAGAGUCCGGAAGAGGCGAGUGGAAUUCCCGGUGUAGCGGUGAAAUGCGCAGAUAUCAGGAAGAACACCCGUGGCUAAGGCGGUUCUCUAGUACGGUACUGACGCUGAGACGCGAAAGCGUGGGGAGCGAACAGG
rnacentral:rRNA from 1 species